rnacentral:lncRNA from 1 species
AAAAUAUGAUUAAAAAAACUCUAAAUCCUUGUAUAUCCUUAUGAGAGUAUUAUUUCCAAACUUCAAAAAAUCAUAUCUUUCAAUUGGACCAUUCAAAUAUACUCAAAUUUUACAUGAGGUACUGAUAUACUUCUAACAACUACCACAAAAAAUUUUAAUUGCAAAUUCAUUGCAAAUUUUGAGAUAUCUUGAAAACCCUAACAUUAACUUCAAACCCUAGUUUUUAUACACCUAUGUGUAAUUUUCUUCAUAUCUCACAAAUUAAGCAUUUAAAUACCACAAAAUUUAUAUGUAUAUCUUUUUAACACAAUUAUCUAUCUUUUUUAAAAAGUUUAAGGCAAAAAUUCAUCAAAAAACUCAAGAUAUGGCUCCAACCAUUACUAUAAACAAAACCGCUCACUUACUACCUUU